rnacentral:rRNA from 1 species
AUACGGAGGGUGCAAGCGUUGUCCGGAUUUAUUGGGUUUAAAGGGUGCGUAGGCGGAUAAUUAAGUCAGUGGUGAAAGACUGCAGCUCAACUGUAGAGGUGCCAUUGAUACUGAUUAUCUUGAGUGCAGUUGAGGUAGGCGGAAUUUAUGGUGUAGCGGUGAAAUGCAUAGAUACCAUAAAGAACACCGAUAGCGAAGGCAGCUUACUGGACUGUAACUGACGCUGAGGCACGAAAGCGUGGGGAGCGAACGGGAUUAGAUACCCUAGUAGUCC